AGCACAAGGAGGCUUUUUUUUUUGGAGUGAGAGGGGAUCCUGGGCAUGGGGAGGGAAGAAGAAUGAUCCCGUACCAGCUCUCUCAUCCCCGCCCCCGGCUUUGACGAAAGUUGGGUAACUAGAAGCUGAUUUUAUAAGAGCACCAGAGGCCCUGCUGCAUUAGGGAGUGCUGGAACUGAGUGUGCAACCUUGGCAAGGCUGGACUUCGAGAAGAAGGUGCCAUAAUAUCAAGGAGAAGUCCCAGCCCCCUCCCAUCUUCCAGUUGCCACAGAAGCCAUCAAAAGCUACAUCUUCCUGUCCACUUCUGCUUCAGACAGCUCUGCUUUCAGAUACAUGAGUUUGGGGGCGAUGUUCACAUGCAUAUCUACCUCAAUGAGAAAAAAGUCAGUACAACACUUUCAUGUUUGUUUUCUCUUGUCUGCCUCUUGUGUUCUUUUCUCUGCCUCCAUCUUCUACUGUAAUAGGUAUUUGUAUUUAUUAGUUACUAUUUAGUAACAGGGGAAUU